CGCGAUUCGCCCUUCGGGGUGCAGCAGGCGCGAAAACUUUACAAUGCCGGCAACGGCGAUAAGGGAACCUCGAGUGCCAGGUUACAAAUCUGGCUGUCGUGAUGCCUAAAAAGCAUUGCAUAGCAAGGGCCGGGCAAGACCGGUGCCAGCCGCCGCGGUAACACCGGCGGCUCGAGUGGUAACCGUUAUUAUUGGGUCUAAAGGGUCUGUAGCCGGCCGGGUAAGUCUCUUGGGAAAUCUGGCAGCUUAACUGUCAGGCUUUCAGGAGAUACUGCCUGGCUCGAGGCCGGGAGAGGUGAGAGGUACUUCAGGGGUAGGGGUGAAAUCUUGUAAUCCUUGAAGGACCACCAGUGGCGAAGGCGUCUCACCAGAACGGACCUGACGGCAAGGGACGAAAGCUAGGGGCACGAACCGGAUUAGAUACCCGGGUAGUCCUAGCCGUAAACGAUACUCGCUAGGUGUCGGCCACGGUGCGACCGUGGUCGGUGCCGUAGGGAAGCCGUGAAGCGAGCCACCUGGGAAGUACGGCCGCAAGGCUGAAACUUAAAGGAAUUGGCGGGGGAGCAC
rnacentral:rRNA from 1 species